rnacentral:rRNA from 1 species
UACGUAGGGGGCGAGCGUUGUCCGGAUUCAUUGGGCGUAAAGAGCUCGUAGGCGGCUUGGCAAGUCGGGUGUGAAAACUCCAGGCUCAACCUGGAGACGCCACCCGAUACUGCCAUGGCUUGAGUCCGGUAGGGGACCACGGAAUUCCUGGUGUAGCGGUGAAAUGCGCAGAUAUCAGGAGGAACACCGGUGGCGAAGGCGGCGACCUGGUCCGAUACUGACGCUGAGGCGCGAAAGCGUGGGGAGCAAACAGG